GCCUGGGUGGCUCAGUCAGUUAAGCAACUGACUUUGGCUCAGGUCAUGAUCUCACGACUCGUGGGUUCGAGACCCUCAUUAGGCU
rnacentral:tRNA from 1 species